UACGGGGGGGGCAAGCGUUGUUCGGAAUUACUGGGCGUAAAGGGCUCGUAGGCGGCCAACUAAGUCAGACGUGAAAUCCCCAGGCUCAACCUGGGAACUGCGUCUGAUACUGGAUGGCUAGAGUUUGGGAGAGGGAUGCGGAAUUCCAGGUGUAGCGGUGAAAUGCGUAGAUAUCUGGAGGAACACCGGUGGCGAAGGCGGGUCUCUGGGCCGAUACUGACGCUGAGGAGCGAAAGCGUGGGGAGCGAACAGG
rnacentral:rRNA from 1 species